rnacentral:rRNA from 1 species
GUCUACAGCCAUGCCACCCUGAAUGUGCCCGAUCUCAUCUGAUCUCAGAAGCUAAGCAGAGUCAGUCCUGGUUAGUACUUGGAUGGUUAGUACUAGGAAGACCAGGUGCUGUAGGCA